rnacentral:miRNA from 1 species
UAUUGCUGAUUAAGAUGAUUUAAACAAGAUUAGCGAAGAUUAAAGUGAGUAUUCCCGCUUUAAUCUUCGCUAAUCAUAUUACAAUCAUCAAUAAAA